UCCAAACAAGAGCUAAUUUUUAUGUAAUCAAUGGCUGGUCUCUCUUCCUUCGUCCGCUUUCUCAUUAUGGUUAUGUUCAUUGCAUCCAUCUUGCUCAUGCAUCCAUCUCAGAUUCAUGCAGAUUUGAAGGUGAGCAAAUUUGGCCGGAAAACCAGACCAAGCCCACCCCCUCCUCCAGCAGGAAACUUUCGGAAGCAACAAAGCCCACCACCUCCUCCAAUGGGUGCACCUCUAAUCUAAAGACCUGCAGUCUGAUCCAUUUUUCUCAACCACCUUCUUACUUUCAAUGUUUUAAAGGAAACUAAGCCUUAGUUAAUCUUACACACACAGGUAGGCAUCUCCUUUAAAUAUUUGUCCAAUUAUACCCCUGCAAAAAUCAGCAAAUAGUUUUUCAGUUCUGUGAUUUGUAUUUUGGCCAGAUUGCUAAAGUGUUUGGGGUUUUAGGAUUCUCUGCAA